GCCUUCGAUGUCUUUAUUUAUCUCCGUGCUACAAUAUUGUUUCACUACUAGAUUCUUUUGGCCCCUAAUACAAACGAUCGUAGAUCCCUUUCGAACCAGUGUUAACAAGGAUGACAGAUGACUAGCAAUGUGUUGAAGCAAGAAUUCCAGGGGCUUUGCCCUAUCCUCCAAGGUGCAUAAAUGUACCUAUGUACCUUUGUUUUUCCCGAAAUUCAAUGCAGAAUUGGGUUUUUUUCAUGGUGAGCUUAAUGAUAAGCCAAAUAUAGAGCUUGGAGAAGAACAUGAAGAGAGAACCAAUGGCAAUCAAAUUAAGGUAUCGCAAGAAACAAAGAUAAACACGAAUAGUGGUCCAUACUCCUUAGUAGACUACAAUGAUUGUAUGUAACUAACCAAAUUGUCCAGAGAUUUGUAGGAUGAACCUCCAGGUUUAGACAAAGAUUCGCCUUUCAUUCCCUUCAAUCACAUGAUUCGCUUCUCAUUUCCUGUCCUUCUGCUUCCCCACCAUUCAGUCUCCUGAUUGCCCUCUCUAUCUCCCCUCUCCCUACUUGUAUUCCAGAUGGCAACCCCAACUCCCCGAAACAUGGCUUACAUACUUGCAUUAUUCUUCCUGGUCCAGCAAAAGAUGGCCGACAAAUCAUAGGAACCCCUUCACAUAAACUCUCCAGGGUUGAAUUCCAACCACAGUGUGUCCAAAAUCCUCCCGUUGAAGGGUGAGCUAGCACUUCCUGUUGGGGAGCCCAUUUCACUAUGUAGGCUCUUUCACCUACCAUUUCUAGGAACCCAUUCGGCAAUAGUUCAAGCCACUCUGAGCCGUGGACUAACCUUGGUCGAACCACCCACAAGAAGGGUUGAUUGCUGUUGGCCAGCCCCCAAGCUAUCUCCAAGAAUUCAGUCUCAUUUAUAGCCGCUACACUUCCAAAGCUAACAUAAAUCACAGAGUUAGGUGCUUGUUUGUCUAACCAUGAUAUGCAACUCUGGUCUUGAGGCAAUAAGCUACUGGAAGAGGCAGGAAAGCACUUGUGGAAAGGACCUAUUGGAAAAACUGGGAUAGAAAAGUACAGGGAACAUUUUGUUAGAUGUUCUUGUUCAAGGUCUUCAUAGGAGUUCCAUAUAAUUCCUGAAGAGGCCUUGGUUUCUUGAACUACAAUAGCAAUGAAUUGACGUAAUCUUCCCAGAUCACCUCUUUCAAACAUAACAAUGUCUUUGAAUUUGAGUUGUGGAAGCUCUGGGACUUGGUUUUCUGCUUGAGAGUCUGAGAAGCAAUUAUAUUCAGCAUUUCAAUAAUUUUUAUUGCAUAAAUAAAAAGGAUGACAUUUAACAUUCGCUUAAAGCUAGGCUGUAACAAAUACAAUUAAUAAUUAUGUGCUAACGUGAACUUUAUAGCUUCUUUUUGGAGAAAAAAUAAUGCAGUCAGAAGAAACUAAGAUUUGUGACAUUUCAACUCGUCAUCAAGUUUCUCUAGCAAAAUCUGAAUCCUAUCAGAACACCAUAGAACUAUCUCAGAAAAAUGAUCUUGAUAAUGAUUCAUCAGAGUCCAAUCUUGAUAAAAAUUGCACUCUGAUGACAAUUCUUAGUUGUGGUUUUCUAAACCUAUUGCUGUGACCAGAAGCUAGAUAAAUGAUCUGUACCUUGCGCUGAGAGGUAACCCUUUUCGCACAGAAAUGGCAUGUACGUGAAAACAAGAAAAGAAGAGACAUUGCUGGUCCUUAACACAAUCCUUGGAAGCUUAAGGCCAUCAGCAACCGCUUGUGUAAAGUGCCAUAAAGCAUCAGUUAUUAAGCAAGCAAUGUGAUCCUCCAAGUUGACAGAUAGCAGCUUAGCCAAACAAUCACGAAAAGAUGUUACACAAUUCGAAUUGAGGGUUGUUAGGAGGGUUACAAUAUGAUUAAGAUCUGAAGGCACGGCAUGAUUUUCUGAUAAUCCAUCAGGUAUAGAAUAGAAUCUGAAAUGAGGGUAGUUUGAGGGGUUGGGAGAGUUGAACUGAGUAUGGAUUAUGGUAAUGGAAAAGCCCUUGGCAUGGAGGAUGUUGGCAAGCUGAAACAUGGGAUUUAUAUGGCCUUGAAAUGGCAUCGGAAAGAGUAUGACUCCAUGGCCUUUCAUUUUGUUUUAAGAGUAUUGCUCUUGAUUCCAGUUUCCGUAGCAUAAAUCAUCCAACAACUUAUAGAGUUUCAUGGCAUAUGUGAUGACUUCAUAAUUAAGAUAUUUUAUGCAAUCUUAUCUGUUAAUCGUAUUUCAAUAAAAAAUAUAAAAAGAAUAGGGUCACGUGGGAACUGGACAAGGACGAAUUGUCUUUAUCUGUACAUCCGUAGACAACUAACACGGGCUCAGUCGAUAAUUGAUAGAUACAGGUCAUGAAAUUUUGAGAUUUCAAAUUCAAAUUUUAUAAUGCAUGAGUUUUGAUUUAAUUUCUAUUGAAUUUAUCAAAUUAUAUGCUAAUUUCGUCCAUUGAUUUGUUUAUUUGAUUUAACGUAUUUGAUUAUGUUAGAAAUUUUAAAAUAAAGUAUAAAAAAUAAUCUUAUAUUGAAAAAAAAUUAAAUAAGAUAAUCAUUUAAAUUAAGAGAAGUAAAAUUCAUUGUAGUUAAAUUUAAGUAAAUAAUGAAUCAUAGGUUUGAAUUUUCAAACUUAGUAGGUCUUGUAUUAAUUAAAUAAUUAAUAUUAAUAUUUAAUUAAUGGGAUUUUGCAUUUAGCGAUGCAAUAAAAAAAGUAAUUUUUUUAAAUUUGUUAAUUAUUUAAGUGUUUAAUUAGUUAAAGUAUGUCUAAAACAAAAAGAUAAUUAAAUUUAUUCAAAAUAAAUAAUUUUUAACUGUUAAAAAUGGAUAAUUUUUAUCUAUUUAAAAUAAACCGUUAUAUCUAUAAAAUAAAUAGACACUUACCUGGUUAUAUAAGUUCCUCAAUUUUUUUAGAAGAUACAAGAAACAAUUUUCAAUACUACUAUGCUUCUUUCUUCAAUAACAUCCUUAUUUUUUUUAAUAAAGUUUUAAUGCAAAAAAUCUCAUAAAAGUUUAAUGAUUUUGUAAUAUAUUAGUGAAUAUUCGGUGAAUUGGUUUCAUUAAUACAAAACGUAACUAGUCAUUGAAUUUUAUUAUAUUUUCGAAAUUUAUCUUCAACUAUUCUUUUGCACUCUUCUAAGCAAAUAAUAUCACAAGAACAAAUAAAAUCUUAAAAAAAUAGUAUCAUUACGUCUUAAAGCUUUUUCUUAAAAUUUCAUAUUUACUAAAAAUAGAUAUUUCAAAUUUUCGGUUUUUGCGCUAACAAAUUAUAAUUAUAAUUAUUUAAGGGAAAGCUGCAUAAUUUACAAAAAUUUCUGAAAAUGUGACUUAUGAAUUACAAAGUUCCAAUUAACGAAAAGGAAAAAUAUAUUAGACUAAUCCCGAGUCUGAUUGGAAUGAUAAUUUGAAGCUAAUCAAGCUUUCUAGAGAGUGAAAUGAAGAACCUGCUUGCUGGAUACAUUGUCCUGGGGAGUUAUAAAAGCAGCUGCAUCACAGUUGCAAGAAGGUUUGAUUAACUGUUAUACAUGAAUUCAAUUGCAAAUCUGCAAUUUCUUUUCGUGUUAUCCAUGAAUUCAAACAGCUUCUAAACUCUAAAGAAAGAUACCUAAAUGACAAAUAUAGGGGCUAAUAGGCAAUGAUAAUGACCUAAUUGGAAACUGAUAAUAAUAAAUAUUGAGUUUAUAUUUGAUAUACUUUUAGUGCAUAUAUUUUAUAUGUUAUCAAUGAAUCAAAUUAUAACAAUUCAUUAAUAAAAUAAAUGAAUAUAUUUAAAAUAUUUAUUGUCAUCAUCUGAUUCACUUAAAGUGUAUAGAAUGUAUAAAUUAAUAAUAUAUUAAAUAUAAACUCACAAAAAAAUUAAAAAAAAAAACAUAAAUGACUUUGCUAGGAUUUAUAUAUUUUGCAAGUUUGCCAUUCCAAAGAAGUUUUGGGUCUUGAUUUUUUUUUUCAAUAAAAUUUUUGUUCCGUUCUUUGUAGUAAUACACAAAUUUUUUAUUCCAAUAAGCAAAUCACUGAAACAUAUAGUUCUGCAAUUUGCAUUCAUAACAUUGGAAAAUGAGUAAAAGUAAUUCAAUCUCCAAUGCUAUUGACUAUAGGGCUUGAUAUUCAAUCUUCUGAUGAAACAAAGCAAAUUCUAGUUGAGAACUUUUUACUGUGUGUGGAAAGUGAGUGAUUUCAAUGAUAUGAUGUGAUGAACCAAGCUAUGAGAUUGUCUUGAAGAACCAACUUGACUCAAGCAUAGAUUUGAUUUGUCCUUUAUAUACAACACUUUCUCCAUCAUCAAUCUUUUGAUUUUCCUCUCUAUUUCCCCUCUCUUUCCAGCCCAUUCUCUAAUUGCAAACCAAUCCUCCAAAUCUCUCUUACAUAUCUUGCAUUAACCCUCUGGUCAGUGAAACAAGGCAUGCAUGCAAAUCAUAGGGACCCCUUCACAUAUACUCUCCAAAUUUGAGUUCCAGCCAUUGUGAGUCCAAAGGCUCCCACUAUUGAGGAGCCCGUUUAACUACCUGUCCCCUUCCAACCCAAUGUUUCCAAAAACCCAUUUGGUAAUGGUUCAAGGCCACUCUGAAACAUAGAUUAAUCCAGGCCUAACCACCCAUAAAAAUCGUUGCCCAUUUAAUUGCUUGCUGUUAGUGCUGCAGGACUUCCAAUGCUAACAUUAACAUAGAUAACUGACUUCGACUCUUGUUUGUUUACCCAGGAAAUAAAACUUUGGUCUUGUGUUAAUGAACUACUUGAAGGCACUGGAAAGCUUUUCUGAAAUGGGCCAAUUGGGAAAAGUGGAACCCCAAGUUCUUGGUGCAGUGCUUCCAAUGCAGAUUGUUCUAUUUCUUGGAAACUGUUCUAUAUUAGCCCCGAAGAGGCUUUGCUUUGGUUCACCAUACCAGCCACCAACUAAUGAAAGAUCUUCCUGGUCACUUUUGUGGAUGACUGGAAGGUAAUGUUCAGUUUCAGAUUGCUGCAAGUCUUCCAAAGCUGACAUAUAUAACUGAUUCAUGUUCCUGCUUCCCUAACAAGCAAAAAAACACUUAAUGCAUGAUUUUCAUUCACUUAUUUUAAAUCAACAUAUUUUAUCUUGAUUUAAAAAAUUAAAUAAUUUAUUUACUUUGAAUUUUUCAUAAAAAAAAAUAAUAAGAGAUAUUACUAGCUAAGGGCAUUAGGCAGAAAAGAUUAACUGCAAAUAUUUUUUUGAUUAGAACCCAAUUGGACCUAUUGCCAACCGAACUAACGGCUGAAUAUAGGCCUUAAAUCAUGAGGAAUUUGGAUCGCAAAGCCCCCCAAACGGAAGAAAUGUAGCUAAGAAUAUCACUUUCACGACUCACGAGGUCACAUCUGAUCUUUUGAAAGGAUUUGGAGCAACCCCACGUGCUGAUACUCUCAAUUUUUCAUGAUUUGAAUCUUUGAUAGGCAAGUUUGCUUGCUUUCAAAACAAAUUUCAAAUGGAUCAAUUUAGAGCCAUUGAACCUGACAUUUUGAAUUGAGAUCCCAACUUGUGGAACUACUCUUCAACCACUCUCACCAUUUUUUUUCAGUUGACUCACAAUUUAAGUGAUAGCAUUUCCUUAGAAAAAGGGAAAAAAAAAAGGCUUGAGCAAGUAAAUAUUAUACUGUUUCAAUAUCCAACAGAUCAUAACACUGUAGUUUUAUGCAUAGAUUGCUUUAGCUUUACUGACAGUCAGUGGUUUGCUAAACGAUUAACAAUCAAUUAAUAAACAGAAACCUAUUUAUAUUCUCUAAAAUCAUACUCUAUAAUUACUGUAAUUAACAUGGCAAUAAUACUCUAUGCAGUCUUUGAGAUUAAAAAAAAUAAAUUGUUGUUUUGCUUUGUGCAAAGGAACAAGACAAUUGGACAAAGCCUGUCUGAAUUGAUUAAGAGAACAAAUAUCUAGUCAGAACAGUAGCUAAUUAAAACCUCAAACAGAAGUAAGUCUCCACCAAUUUCUUCCAUUUGCAGCAUCCAAACCAAAACCAGAUAAAGCCUGCUUCUGAUAACUAAUACUAUCUUAAUUAAAAAUAAGUAAACAUCAAAUAUCUCAAGUCUAACAUUCAAAUUCAGUAUAUAUAAUUUUUGAGUUUAUAUUUGAUACAUUAUCAAUAUAUAUAUAUUAUAUUGUCAGUGAAUCAAAUGAUGAUAACUCAUUAAUACUCAAAUUGUUAUCAUCUGAUUCACUAUAGUAUAUAAAAUUUACACACUAAUAGUGUAUAAAUAAUUAAUACCUAAGUUAUGAAUUUUAAUUAUUUGAAUUUUGAAUCAAUAAUUAAUACAUAAAUUACCCAAUUGCCCAAAGGAUGAACGAAAGUACAAUUACUAUUUUUUUUUAAAAUUUUUAAUUUACCCUUAAAUUCCUCUUAUCAUAUUAUUUAACUAGAUUAUAACUUGUGUAUUGCACGAAAUAAUUUUAUUUAUUUAAUAUGAAUAUAUAUUACAAAUUAAAUUUUUUUUCAAAAUUAUAUUAAAUUUUUAAAAUUUAUAACAUAUAUAAAAUUUAUAUAUAUUAACUUGUCAUUAAAAAUAAUUUUUUUAAAAACAGCAAAGAAAAAAAACCAUAUCUUUCCUUUCAAUAUUUUUGUUUACAAUAAUAUUUAUACACUUGUAAAAUUAUAUCAAAUAAAAAUAAAUUAUGUCUUUUUUUAAAAAAUAAAAAAUAUAUAUUAUUGAAUGAUAAAUUAAAUAAUAAAAGAAGUAUUAACACAUUUCACUUUGUAAUCUUGACAAAAUUAUUAUACAAAAUAUGACAAUAUUAGAAAAUAUAUGAAAAAAGAAAAAUAAAUUGAAAAAAAUAUUAUUUUUCAUAUGAAUGAAACUGUAAUAACAAUAAAAUAAAUCUUAAAAAAUUUACAAACAAAAAAAAUAAAUUGCAAUAGUAAUAGAAUAUAACUUAAAAAAGUUAUUGAAAAAAUAAAAAAAAUUGAUGUAUAACACAUUACAUUUGUAGUCUUAAAUUUACAAAAAAAUUCUUUAGUGGCAAUUAGGAUUAAAUAGAUAAUUUUUAAGUUAAUUUUUUAAAAUUUAAAAUAGAUAUAAUAAGAGAUAAAGAUAAUAUUAAAUUUUUUACAUUUAUUUGAAAUAUAAAUUUGAUAAUUAGAGUUCAAAUAGAUAUAAUCAUUUUCAUAAUUUUAUUAUUUAAAGAUUUAGGAUGAAAAUUUUUUGAAUUUUUAAAAUCUUACAUAAAAUUGUUUGAAUUUUUAAUGUCUUAUGUAAAUUUUUUUAAAAAAUAAUUUUUUAAAUCAAGAUAAAAAUAUUGUUGAAAGAUUUGAAUAAACUUAAUUUUUUAUAAUUUUUAAUUUAUCUAAUUUGUAACUAAAAGAAAUUAUAUUAUUUUUUAAAAAAACUAUCCUAUGUGUCAUUUAAAAGAGUUGUCCACAUAAAUACUUAUAUGGCAUACUUGUUUGUGUAUGUUGUUAUAUUAUAUAUAUAUAUAUUAGAUUAAUUAAAAAAGAUAUUACAUGCAUAAUUUUCUCAAAUUUAUAAUCAUUAAAUAUCAAUUUUAAUGAUAUAUCAAGUAAUUUAAAAGAUAAUAGUAUAAUGACUAUUAAAAUCAAAAAGUACUAAGAAGUAGAACCAAAUAUGUUUUGUCCUAUGUAUAAUUUUUUUCAAAAACAAACACAAAGAAUUGGAAAAAAAUUAAAAUUUAAAUGGGCAUUUUUUAGUGUUCUAAAAAAUAAAUUAUAUUGAUACUUAGCUAGCAAAAAACAAAGAAAUGGGGUCCCAACAAAAAUUAAGGCAAAAACGUACGGCAAAUUUCAUCCCACAAUUUUUUCACCUUUUUUAUCUUCUAUCCCUUCUUCAUGUCCUUGUCCCCACCACCGCUACUUCACGCUGACGCAAAGAUAGCAAUUUGGGUGCUUGCUUUUGUGCUUUACUUCUAUCUAAUAAGAAUAAAAUAGUCUUAGUAGCACAAAAUUGGGUUUCUUUUUUUGGAUUUGUUCAAGUUAAUUUCAUGUUUUAAAAAAAUUUAAUAAAGAAAAGGUAAAUCCCAUCUACUUUUAUUAAAAUUAACGUGAAAGACGUUAUAUAUUUUAAUUUAAGUAAUUAAAGUAUACGUGAUAUCGUAUGAAAUUCGAAUGAUUAUUAAAUUUUAAAUUUAUUAAAAAAUUAAAUAUGAUUUAAUGUUAAAAACCAAAUUGUAUGCAAUUUAGAUAGGAUUGGGACAAAGAUUUUAAAUGGGGUUUAUUGAAUCGAAUUUCUUAUUGACGGUUCAAAGGAUUACACGUUCUAUUAAUGUAAAAGAUUCUCUUUACUAUGUUAUUCAUGGAUGUAAAUAGUUUUAUCAAUGAAGAUUAAAAGUAUAGAAUUCAGCGCAUCUUGAGAAACAAAUUUUUGUAUUGAUUAUUUGAUUAACUGAAUUUUUAUUCAAGACGAUAAUCACUAUGUGUUAAAGAAUCCUCCAAUAAAUUUGAUUCAUUUAAUGCACAAAUAUUUAGGGAAGACCUCGAAGACUUAUUAAGGGUAAGACGACCUCAAGGCUUAAGAUUGUAAGUGAUUCUACCACUGUUUUGCAUAGAAAAAAAAAAAUCCCAUAUGCUCUAUUUUCUACUUUGACAGGUUUCGAUUUAUCAAGUUCUUGAUUCGAAAACAUUCAUUUUGAUUGAACUUUUGAGCCUAAAUGUUUAAAGAAAAGUUUUCCUUUUUUUGUGAAAAGUUCUAAGCAUAUAAGUUGUUCUAAUCCUCAUGUCAAGAUAAGAUGAGAUAAGAGGUGUGGAAAAAAUUUUACUGUAUUCAUUAUUAAUACCAACAAAAGUUCAGCGACGAUGUUCAACCCGAAAUGGAAAAAACAAACUCUUGUGUGAAAUAAUAUCGUUUAAUAUAUGUUUUUUAUUCAAAUCAAAUUAUAUAAUCAUAUUAUUAAAAAUUUUAAUUAUUUAUUACAUGAUGUAUAAUAAAUAAUUAAUUUCUUUAAUAAUAUGAUUAUGUAAUAUAAUUUAAAUAAUAUAAAAACGUAAUUGUUUCGUAUAUUCAUUUCUUCAACCAAUUUUAUGGCGAAAAGCAUUUGUUGAAUAAUCUAAUUAAUGGCCUUUGAAAAAUAGAGAAAAGAAGAGACGUUGUUACACACAUUGAUAUAACAUAAAGUCAUAUGAAAAAAAAUAUAAAAAUAAUAUAAUUUAAAAUUUUAAUAAAAUUACAUAUAAAUUUAAUAAAAACAAAUAUAUGUUUCAUAUUUAAAGUGUUUAUCGCAUUUGAUAUGAAACAGUUAUUUUACAAAUAUAUAAAAUCUUAAAUUUAUUGAUAAUAUCAUGAUAAGAAAUGUUUUUUGUGAUAGUAGGUACAAAUAUACCCGUUAUUAAAUGUUAAUUAUUGGAUCACAUUUCUUAUCAUUGUUAAAAUUAUAUUAAUAUUCAACGAAUUUAAAUCUCUACGCCUACGAUGUCUUUAUUUAUCUCCGUGCUACAAUAUUGUUUCACUACUAGAUUCUUUUUGGCCCCUAAUAGAAACGAUCGUAGAUCCCUUUCGAACCAAUGUUAACAAUGAUGACAGAUGACUAGCAAUGUGUUGAAGCAAGAAUUCCAGGGGCUUUGCCUUAUCUUCCAAAGUGCAUAAUAUACCUAUGUACCUUUGUUUUUCCCGAAAUUCAAUGCAGAAUUGGGUUUUUUUCAUGGUGAGCUUAAUGAUAAGCCAAAUAUAGAGCUUGGAGAAGAACAUGAAGAGAUAACCAAUGGCAAUCAAAUUAAAGUAUUGCAAGAAAUAAAGAUAAACACAAAUAGUGGUCCAUACUCCUUAAUAGACUACAAUGAUUGUAUGUAACUAACCAAAUUGUCCAGAGAUUUGUAGGAUGAACCUCCAGGUUUUAGACAAAGAUUCCCCUUUUCCUUCAAUAACAUGAUUCUGCUUCUCAUUUCCUGUCCUUCUGCUUCCACUAUCAGUCUCCUGAUUGCCCUCUCUAUCUCCCCUCUCCCUAUCUUGUAUUC
rnacentral:lncRNA from 1 species